CCGGAAUUUUGCAGGUGGCUACCUGCACCGCUCUGACCAAUCAGAGGAAGGCGCUUCCGACUUCGCAGCGCCAGGGAGGGGGUGCUUCCCUUUCGGCUUAAGGUCCUCCGACGGCACGGGCGGCGGCGGCGGCGACCGGACGAGCUUCAAGCCAAGGCGGCGACAUCCUCAGGCGUCCCAGUGGGCGCUCGGGCGGCUUCUCAGGGCCUUAUAUGGACCCUUAACGAUGACCAGCAAUGGCGUUAGUGGGUCUGGCAGUGGCAGUGGCAGUGGAAGUAGCAGCAGCAGCAAAGGCCGAGGUGUUCUGUGGAGGCUCCAGGAAACCUUGCAUCUGCUGGACAUUUGGGGAGAGCAGAAUAUGCAGGAUCAGCUCCGCAACACGUACCAGAAUCUGGAAUGCUUCGAGUACAUUGCCCAGGAGAUGGCCAGGAGGGGUUACCGUCGCACUGCCGUGGAGUGCCGCUCAAAAGCCAAAGCACUGAGGCUGGCAUACAAGCGCGUGAUCGAUCACAAUGCCAAAGCGGGGAGCAAUCAGAUGACCUGCCCUUUUUAUGACCAGCUGCACCAGAUCCUCCGGGGGGACGCCAGUGCAAAAUCCAAGUGGGUUCCACAGCGCCUCAGUUUCCAAGAUGGAUCUCAGCAAGAAGCCGCCCUGGCACCUCCACAGACAGUAUCGGAAGAUGUUAUGUCGCACGAUUUCCCCGUAAUUGAUGAUGAUGGACAAUAUAUCAAACAGGAGGACACCGGAAGAAAUCUGGAUUCUCAAAGACCCCAAGUAAGUCCUGAAGAACAGGACUCUUUCAGCUGCGUAGAUCCUGUUGAGGCCAAUUCUCCUUUAUCACCAUCUCCUACUCCCAUGGUGAGGUCCAGGAAGAAAAAGAAGACAGAUGUCAUGUUUGAGCAGUUCCUGCAGCAGUCCAGAGAACAGCACAAGGAGCUUCUCCUCGAAAUGGCCCGUGACAGAGAGGUGGCGCUGGACUUCCUGAAGAGCUUCAAGGAGGAUGCCGCAGAACACCGGGAGGAGAGCGAGCACCUUACGGAGACAAUGUACACCCAGAAUGAGACUUUGAAGGGACUGGUUGCUAAUUUGAACAGCUUGAUUGAUGCCUUUGUGAACCAAUCCCAGAACAGGCAUUGUUCUAAUACCUCCCACAGCACCGCAAUGCAAUGAGGGAACCAGGCCGAACAACAAGAGUUGCAGCCUCUGGCAUCUGCUGCACUGCUGGCGUGGCAAUAAUUUCACUUAUCCAGAGUUCCACAGCCUGGCCACACAUUUCCUGAAGACCACCAUAGUGACACCUAUGAGUGACCACUGCGGAGAGCUGUGUUUUUAUACAGAUUUUUUGGAAAGUGUUCAAGAAUAUUUUUUUAAGCAAAAUAAAGAGUUAUUUAAAAAAAAAGGGGGGGGAACA
rnacentral:lncRNA from 1 species